GCUGGAUGCUGACGAGCGGCGGACGGGUGAGUAAUGCAUAGGAAUCUGCCCGAUAGUGGGGGAUAACCUGGGGAAACCCAGGCUAAUACCGCAUACGUCCUACGGGAGAAAGGGGGCUCCGGCUCCCGCUAUGGGAUGAGCCUAUGUCGGAUUAGCUAGUUGGUGAGGUAACGGCUCACCAAGGCCACGAUCCGUAGCUGGUCUGAGAGGAUGAUCAGCCACAUCGGGACUGAGACACGGCCCGAACUCCUACGGGAGGCAGCAGUGGGGAAUAUUGGACAAUGGGGGAAACCCUGAUCCAGCCAUGCCGCGUGUGUGAAGAAGGCCCUCGGGUUGUAAAGCACUUUCAGCGAGGAAGAACGCCUAGCGGUUAAUACCCGCUAGGAAAGACAUCACUCGCAGAAGAAGCACCGGCUAACUCCGUGCCAGCAGCCGCGGUAAUACGGAGGGUGCAAGCGUUAAUCGGAAUUACUGGGCGUAAAGCGCGCGUAGGUGGCUUGAUAAGCCGGUUGUGAAAGCCCCGGGCUCAACCUGGGAACGGCAUCCGGAACUGUCGAGCUAGAGUGCAGGAGAGGAAGGUAGAAUUCCCGGUGUAGCGGUGAAAUGCGUAGAGAUCGGGAGGAAUACCAGUGGCGAAAGCGGCCUUCUGGACUGACACUGACACUGAGGUGCGAAAGCGUG
rnacentral:rRNA from 1 species